UCCCUGGUGGUCCAGUGGUUAGGACUCAGGGCUUUCACUGCUGGGGGCCUGGGUUCAAUCCUUAGUCAGGGAA
rfam:TPA: Bos taurus chromosome 28, whole genome shotgun sequence.